rnacentral:rRNA from 1 species
UAAAAUUUAUAAAAUUAGGUAGUAAAGAAAUUUCUGAAACCUAAAGAAUUUGGCGGUAUUUUAAAUAAUUGGAGGAACCUGUUAUUUAAUUGACAACCCACAACACAUCUUACCUAAAUUUUAUUUGUAUAUCGUCGUUUUGAUAAUAUUUUAAAAUAAUAAUCAAGUUUAAUAAAUUUUUUAAAUUCAGAUCAAGGUGCAGUAUAUUUAGGUUAUAAUGGGUUACAAUAUACUAAUAUAUAACGAAUAUAAAAUUGGAAUUAUAUUGAAGGUGGAUUCAAAAGUAAAAUUAAAAUAAAAAGUUAAUUUGAUUUAUAAUUUAAAAUAUGC